rnacentral:sRNA from 1 species
AGGGCUGAUCGAAAGAUCCGGGUCCACAUGAUGACGGGCGGGGCGCUC